rnacentral:rRNA from 1 species
UAGGGAAUCUUCGGCAAUGGACGGAAGUCUGACCGAGCAACGCCGCGUGAGUGAAGAAGGUUUUCGGAUCGUAAAGCUCUGUUGUAAGAGAAGAACGAGUGUGAGAGUGGAAAGUUCACACUGUGACGGUAUCUUACCAGAAAGGGACGGCUAACUACGUGCCAGCAGCCGCGGUAAUACGUAGGUCCCGAGCGUUAUCCGGAUUUAUUGGGCGUAAAGCGAGCGCAGGCGGUUAGAUAAGUCUGAAGUUAAAGGCUGUGGCUUAACCAUAGUACGCUUUGGAAACUGUUUAACUUGAGUGCAGAAGGGGAGAGUGGAAUUCCAUGUGUAGCGGUGAAAUGCGUAGAUAUAUGGAGGAACACCGGUGGCGAAAGCGGCUCUCUGGUCUGUAACUGACGCUGAGGCUCGAAAGCGUGGGGAGCAAACAGGAUUAGAUACCCUGGUAGUCCACGCCGUAACGAUGAGUGCUAGGUGUUGGGUCCUUUCCGGGACUCAGUGCCGCNGGCUAACGCAUUAAGCACUCCGCCUGGGGAGUACGACCGCAAGGUU